GACGAACGCUGGCGGCGUGCUUAACACAUGCAAGUCGAACGGGCCCGCCCCUGUUUUUGGGGGGGGGUUGAGUGGCGAACGGGUGAGUAUCACGUGAGUAACCUGCCCCCUGCUCCUGGAUAACUGCUUGAAAGGGCGGCUAAUACGGGGUGUGCCGGCUGGUCCGCAUGGGCCUGGUCGGGAUAGUUUCAUCUUCGGGUGUUUCGGUGGGGGAUGGGCUCGCGGCCUAUCAGCUUGUUGGUGGGGUGAUGGCCCACCAAGGCGGUGACGGGUAGCCGGCGUGAGAGGGUGGGCGGCCACACUGGGACUGAGACACGGCCCAGACUCCUGCGGGAGGCAGCAGUGGGGGGUAUUGCACAAUGGGCGGAAGCCUGAUGCAGCGACGUCGCGUGAGGGAUGGAGGCCUUCGGGUUGUGAACCUCUUUCUCCGGUGGUGAAGGCCCUGUCCGUUGCGGCGGGGUUGACGGUAGCCGGGUAUGAAGCGCCGGCUAACUACGUG
rnacentral:rRNA from 1 species